UUCCUCUCCGGGGUUAAUGAUGCUCUGAUUUUUAUUUAUUUUUUUCCUUUGGCUUAGCUUUCUAUGUUCUGGAGAGACUGAAGAGGGGAGUUCCCAGAGCAGUGCAUGGACCAUGGCAGAUACUCAGCAAGAGUGUGUCGCAAGAGUGAAGAGCUCUUGGUGCUGUGGGGGGAGCUGGAGAAAUCAGAGCAACGGAAGACUGUUCUACUCUCUUCAUAGCUCUGAACAACGGUCUGGUCCAAACGUCUGGUCUUCACAGCUAUCCUGAGACCGAUGCUGUUCUUUCUCACCCUUCUUUUCGCAGACUGAGAAACUGAGGCAGAGAGGUUUCAGGUCACAUAAGAACGUGAACUUGUGGGGGGCAGGGCCCUGCAUCACGGAUCUCUGCCCAGCUCAGCCCUGGCUCAAGAAAAGUGAGAAAGACCAGGUUCCCCACUGCGGGUCCCGCCCCUCAGAUGCUACAGACACAGAGUCGGCUUGCUCCCCUUAGAAUAUGGUUCUGGAGGCCCACAGCAUUGCAAAGGCAGAGAAACCGGCGAUCAUUGCCACUGCUGGGCCUUAGACCAUGCCUCUGACUCGAAGUGCCCUUGGGGGUGAAGAGCCUCAGGUUUGGUGUGGCACCAGAAGCUUCGGUUGCUCUUUCUGACCUCAUUUUUCCUGUGCUGCACUGGCCCUUGGAGAUGACCCACUGCUGGGUCUUUCAAUGCUGAGGGAGGUGCCUGGCCUCCCACGUGGGCUGCGACCACGCUCACACAUCAGGUGCCCCUCUCGGUGCUGACUGGGUGCCCUCCUCGUGAGCCCUUCAGUGCGGCUCAGACCAGCCUUUGCAUGAAUCCACUCUGCUUCCUAACUUGGCUGCUACCUGCCAUGUCUCUCCAUAAGCCCAGAUGCCACUGAGUGGCUUGAGACCACAUGCAGCACAGCCGGGCACGCCCCUGCAUCUGUCUCCCAGGCUCCCGGCCUCCACAGAGAACCUAAGUGCCGUGCAAAGCCCACUUUCCAAACAACCGCCAGUCUGGAAUUGGGUGCCACAGCUCACAGCAAUAGAGCAGGUCAGAUCCCUACCCCUUCAAGUAACAGCUGGAGGGAACAACUGUGAAAUCCCCAUCCCUGGGUGAUCUGUUAGAGAAAUUAGGUCACACCUGUGAUAAGGUGCGAUAUGGCCCAUAAAAAAGAAAGUGAAACCCUCUCUUUUAGCCAUAUUGCUGAGUAAAAGCAGAAUGGAAGAGAACCAUGGUAUAUAUGUGAAAACAAAAGACUAGGCAUCUAUUUUCCUUUAUAAUGGAUGUAUUUCCUUAGCUCAGUAUUUCUCGUCAAGGGAAUCUGAUGGAAGGCACUGGAAGUUGGCAAACCUUUUCUGUGAAGGACCAGAUGGUAAAUAUUCUGGGCUUCACGGGCUGGAGGUCUCCAUCGCAGCUCCUUGGGUCUGCUGCUGCAGCCGGAAAGCCAUAGACAAAACGUACAUGGGCAGUGGCUGCAGCCCCAGUGGCACACAGACUUGAAAAGACUUGGCAGAGAAAACCCUUCCAAAAGUCCCUCCAGAGAUGUCCCUCUAGAUCCCUUUGGCCGAGACUAUUCCACAUGGCCUGUUAAGCUAGCUAUGGUACAAGCAGUGGCUUCUGUGACCGCUUCUUGCAGGACUUCCUGAUGAGCUGGGACAGCCUCCUUGUUGUUGCAAACAAGGAUGGGGCCAGCUGGGGCCGCUAGGGCUGGCAAAGAAGUGGGGUGAGUCAACUACACCCCAAACCCUCUUUUCUCUCUUGAUGACUCCCAGCUGGGCCCGGUGUGAACGGCUGAAGCCAUCUGGUUGGUGGCUGUCUUUAAGGGUCACUGGUGGAGGGGGCAGGACCCCUGAAAACGCUUUCUGGGUUUUGGUUUUGGGUGACUGGCCAUUCUCCUGUGGUAAAGCUCCCAGCAUCUCCCUGCUCUCUGACUCUGCUAGCAAACCACACACACCCUCUGUUUCUGUGCAAUGGACUUGCUGUCCUAACCUCGCGGUUACCAGGUUAGUUCAGCUUCGGUGACAGGGACUCCUGCCCGUGUCUGCUCUCACCCUGCCCAUCCACACUGCACCCUGGAGGGUUGUUCCUGAAGGACUUCCUUGCCUGAAACCGAGGUGCCAAGGCAGCGACCGACUCUCUGGUGUGGCAUUCAAGGCCUUUCGUGAUUGGCCUCAUCUCUUUUUCCUGACAUCCUCCUGUGUUUCAACCGUCCUGGAAGCAGGGUCACCUCCUGCCCCCCUUCCCACCUCACACGUCCUGGCCUCUGGGCCUUGCUUGCUCCCUGUGAUCUUCUGGCAGGACAUCCCUCCCUGCCCUCCCCGGGAUGCUCAGUACUUGCUGGGCACAGAAGUCCCUUCUUCAAGAGAAAUCUACAUGGAAUUGCAAUAUGAAAAACAGUAAAAGUGAUUGCUCAUUAU